UGCUUCUCUUGAGAGCGGCGGACGGGUGAGUAAUGCCUAGGAAUCUGCCUGGUAGUGGGGGAUAACGUUCGGAAACGGACGCUAAUACCGCAUACGUCCUACGGGAGAAAGCAGGGGACCUUCGGGCCUUGCGCUAUCAGAUGAGCCUAGGUCGGAUUAGCUAGUUGGUGAGGUAAUGGCUCACCAAGGCGACGAUCCGUAACUGGUCUGAGAGGAUGAUCAGUCACACUGGAACUGAGACACGGUCCAGACUCCUACGGGAGGCAGCAGUGGGGAAUAUUGGACAAUGGGCGAAAGCCUGAUCCAGCCAUGCCGCGUGUGUGAAGAAGGUCUUCGGAUUGUAAAGCACUUUAAGUUGGGAGGAAGGGCAGUUACCUAAUACGUGAUUGUUUUGACGUUACCGACAGAAUAAGCACCGGCUAACUCUGUGCCAGCAGCCGCGGUAAUACAGAGGGUGCAAGCGUUAAUCGGAAUUACUGGGCGUAAAGCGCGCGUAGGUGGUUAGUUAAGUUGGAUGUGAAAUCCCCGGGCUCUACCUGGGAACUGUAU
rnacentral:rRNA from 1 species